UACGGAGGGUGCAAGCGUUAUCCGGAUUUACUGGGUUUAAAGGGUGCGUAGGUGGGCAGGAAAGUCAGUGGUGAAAUCUCCGGGCUUAACCCGGAAACUGCCAUUGAUACUAUUUGUCUUGAAUACUUUGGAGGUAAGCGGAAUAUGUCAUGUAGCGGUGAAAAUGCUUAGAUAUGACAUAGAACACCAAAUUUGCGCAGGCAGCUUACUACACAGUAAAUUGACACUGAGGCACGAAAGCGUGGGGAUCAAACAGG
rnacentral:rRNA from 1 species